GUCGCGGCCAGACCCUGUCCGGUCCCCCGGUCCCCACCCCGCGGCUCUCACCUUGGCUCUCUGUCUCCUGGAAUUCCGUGACCAGCGCCUGCAGCAGGUUUUCUGGAACUGGAACGACAGUUACCUGUGAUGAGUCCAGCCGUGAGGUAGAGCUGGCUGAGGGUGCGGGAGAAGGAGCCGGCCACCAUGCCCAGGCUGGCCAGCACGCCCCCCAGCAUCGCAGUCACUCGGCAGCCAAAGCGCUCCACCAGGACGCUGCACAGGGGCCCUGUGGGGAGGACACAGCCGGCGGGCGGCAGCUGAAUGAGCAGGGUGAGGGGUCAGAUUGGGUGAUGUCUGACGCUGAUAAGGAUCCCCAGGGGGCAGACCAAGGCCCUGCACUGCACCAGCCUGAGGCGGACUCCAUCCAGGCCCCUUCCCGCCCAGCCUCCUGGGGACACAGCCCCACCCAGCCGAAUUCCAGCCAGGGGGCCCCACGGAAAUCAGCUGCUCACCGCCAGCGUGGAGCACAGCCAGCAGCACGGAGGGGAACCAGGAGGUCUCGCUGUUGCUGGCCUGGAAGUCAUGCUGCAGUUCCGUGAAGAAGACGCCAA